rnacentral:lncRNA from 1 species
GCCAUCAACAGCUGCAAAAGCACAACUACGAUACACAGUCCGAAAACACGAUAAGCUUCGUCUAUAACCAAUUUCUACAAGUGCAUUAGGAAUAGGAGGCAAUCUUUGCCAUCUUUUAGAAAUGGGGUCCAACGCGUGCAAGAAACGGCUGGUUACUGCGGCUCUCCAGCUGGGCGAUACUGCCUUCAAAUUCAAAUAGCCAAUUCUGGGAGUUCUAGCAAGAAUCUGAAGAGAGAUUUCAUCAGGAAGACCGGGAAUCAAUCGAGGCUCAUCAUACCAAACACCUGAUGAUGUUUUCUGUCUCUUACAGGAUUCAUUAGGUGGAGCAUGAAAUGAUCCAAUCCGU